rnacentral:rRNA from 1 species
UACGGGGGGGGCAAGCGUUGUUCGGAAUUACUGGGCGUAAAGAGCGCGCAGGCGGUUGGGUAAGUCGAAUGUGAAAGCCCCCGGCUCAACUGGGGAGGGUCAUUCGAUACUGUCCGACUCGAAGGCAGGAGAGGGAAGCGGAAUUCCCGGUGUAGUGGUGGAAUGCGUAGAGAUCCGGAGGAACACCAGCGGCGAAGGCAGCAUCCUGGACUGGUCCUGACACUCAGGAGCGAAAGCGUGGGGAGCGAUCCGG